AUUGAACGCUGGCGACAGGCCUAACACAUGCAAGUCGAGGGGCAGCACAUGAGUAGCAAUACGAUGGUGGCGACCGGCGCACGGGUGAGUAUCGCGUAUGCAACCUACCUUCCACAGGGGGAUAGCCUUCCGAAAGGGAGAUUAAUACCGCAUAAAACAGGGGCCCCGCAUGGGGAUAUUUGUUAAAGAUUUAUCGGUGGGAGAUGGGCAUGCGUUCCAUUAGCUAGUUGGCGGGGUAAUGGCCCACCAAGGCAUCGAUGGAUAGGGGAACUGAGAGGUUUAUCCCCCACACUGGAACUGAGACACGGUCCAGACUCCUACGGGAGGCAGCAGUGAGGAAUAUUGGUCAAUGGGCGGGAGCCCGAACCAGCCAAGUCGCGUGAAGGAAGACGGUUCUAUGGAUUGUAAACUUCUUUUGCACUGGGGUAAAACGGGGGACGUGUCCCCCCUUGCAAGUACAGUGCGAAUAAGCAUCGGCUAACUCCGUGCCAGCCGCCGCGGUAAUAC
rnacentral:rRNA from 1 species